UCCAGACUCCUACGGGAGGCAGCAGUGGGGAAUAUUGCACAAUGGGGGGAACCCUGAUGCAGCGACGCCGCGUGAGCGAUGAAGUAUUUCGGUAUGUAAAGCUCUAUCAGCAGGGAAGAAAAUGACGGUACCUGACUAAGAAGCCCCGGCUAACUACGUGCCAGCAGCCGCGGUAAUACGUAGGGGGCAAGCGUUAUCCGGAUUUACUGGGUGUAAAGGGAGCGUAGACGGCUGUGCAAGCCAGAUGUGAAAGCCCGGGGCUCAACCCCGGGACUGCUUUUGAAACUGUGUAGCUAGAGUGCAGGAGAGGUAAGUGGAAUUCCUAGUGCAGCGGUGAAAUGCGUAGAUAUUAGGAGGAACACCGGUGGCGAAGGCGGCCUACUGGACGGUGACUGACGCUGAGGCUCGAAAGCGUGGGGAGCAAACAGGAUUAGAUACCCGUGUAC
rnacentral:rRNA from 1 species